rnacentral:rRNA from 1 species
AUUGAACGCUGGCGGCAUGCCUUACACAUGCAAGUCGAACGGCAGCACGGGAGCAAUCCUGGUGGCGAGUGGCGAACGGGUUGAGUAAUAUAUCGGAACGUGCCCAGUCGUGGGGGAUAACGUAGCGAAAGCUACGCUAAUACCGCAUACGAUCUACGGAUGAAAGCGGGGGAUCGCAAGACCUUGCGCUGAUUGAGCGGCCGAUGUCAGAUUAGCUAGUUGGUGAGGUAAAGGCUCACCAAGGCGACGAUCUGUAGCGGGUCUGAGAGGAUGAUCCGCCACACUGGAACUGAGACACGGUCCAGACUCCUACGGGAGGCAGCAGUGGGGAAUUUUGGACAAUGGACGAAAGUCUGAUCCAGCAAUGCCGCGUGCAGGACGAAGGCCUUCGGGUUGUAAACUGCUUUUGUACGGAACGAAAAGACUCUUUCUAAUAAAGAGGGUCCAUGACGGUACCGUAAGAAUAAGCACCGGCUAACUACGUG